rnacentral:rRNA from 1 species
UACGUAGGGUGCGAGCGUUGUCCGGAAUUAUUGGGCGUAAAGAGCUCGUAGGCGGUUCGUCGCGUCGGCUGUGAAAUCCCGAGGCUCAACCCCGGGCCUGCAGUGGGUACGGGCAGACUAGAGUGCGGUAGGGGAGACUGGAAUUCCUGGUGUAGCGGUGAAAUGCGCAGAUAUCAGGAGGAACACCGGUGGCGAAGGCGGGUCUCUGGGCCGUAACUGACGCUGAGGAGCGAAAGCGUGGGGAGCGAACAGG